UACGGGGGGGGCAAGCGUUGUUCGGAAUUACUGGGCGUAAAGGGCUCGUAGGUGGUUUGUCGCGUUGUUCGUGAAAUCUCACGGCUUAACUGUGAGCGUGCGGGCGAUACGGGCAGACUUGAGUACUGCAGGGGAGACUGGAAUUCCUGGUGUAGCGGUGGAAUGCGCAGAUAUCAGGAGGAACACCGGUGGCGAAGGCGGGUCUCUGGGCAGUAACUGACGCUGAGGCGCGAAAGCUAGGGGAGCAAACGGG
rnacentral:rRNA from 1 species